GACAGAGGGGGCAAGCGUUGCUCGGAAUUACUGGGCGUAAAGCGUGCGCAGGCGGUUGGCCGUGUCCGAUGUGAAAGCCCCGGGCUUAACCUGGGAAUGGCAUUGGAAACUGGCGAGCUUGAGUGUGGCAGAGGGGGGUGGAAUUCCGCGUGUAGCAGUGAAAUGCGUAGAGAUGCGGAGGAACACCGAUGGCGAAGGCAGCCCCCUGGGCCAACACUGACGCUCAGGCACGAAAGCGUGGGGAGCAAACAGG
rnacentral:rRNA from 1 species